rnacentral:rRNA from 1 species
UACGAAGGGGGCUAGCGUUGUUCGGAAUCACUGGGCGUAAAGGGCGCGUAGGCGGCCGAUCAAGUCGGGGGUGAAAGCCUGUGGCUCAACCACAGAAUUGCCUUCGAUACUGUUUGGCUUGAGACCGGAAGAGGUAAGUGGAACUGCGAGUGUAGAGGUGAAAUUCGUAGAUAUUCGCAAGAACACCAGUGGCGAAGGCGGCUUACUGGUCCGGUUCUGACGCUGAGGCGCGAAAGCGUGGGGAG